AGAGAUGGUCUUCAGAAAUUAGAGAUUUUCAUGUUGCCCACUCCAAUACUUUGCAGUCAGAGUGAUUGAUAUGAACAUGCAAAUUUUAUUAAAACCUUCCUUAAAUCCCUUUAAAGGGUUCCAGCGCUCUCAGCCUAAGAUGCAAGCUCUUCAGCAUGGCUGGGGGCCUUGCACGGCACAACGUGGCACAACGUUUGCCACUCUCAUCUUGCAUACCUUAGGAAGGCUUUAUUUUGGUUGUUGGUUACUCCCUGGGAUCAACAACCUGCAGACUCAGAAGUUGAGCACAACACAGAUGCUUUAUCUACCAAGAACAACUCAGGUUAGCCUUGGGGAUGUGCUCAUUGUCCACUCAGGGACUCAAGCGGCCUGGGCAUCUCCACCUGGAGAGUUGCUGGUUGUUCACCAGAGGGGAAAAGAUCCCACCUCAAGCAGUUAAGUGCUCUGGCCUGGAAGGGGCACCUGUGCUCACAACUCAUGGCUUAACUAGCCAUGUGGCCGCCUCCAACUACUGAGAGCCAGGAAGACAGCCCUGCUGUGUCCACGGGGCGAGAGGGGUCUGCAUAUCGGUGAGCAGCACUGAUGAAUACGCCAGCUUCAGGCCCUUCGUGUCGGCUCUGCCCCACAGAGCUACACUGCAGCUCCUUUUAUGUUGUCAUUAGAGCAUCAUUCACGUGGUCACUCAUUGUGUCGCCAAAUCUGUCCACUUAGCCAGUUCAUCCAUGCAGUUUUCUCAUUCAUUCUCUUUUUCUACCUCCUCUACUUUGCAAUGAUGCUCAGAAUAUUCUUUCCCUUUCCUCCUUCAUCAUUCUCCUCCUUUAUAACUCAGUGUUUUCAUCGCUUCGUUCAGGAGGUCUCUGUGUCAGCACCCUGCAAAGCUGACUGCGGGGUCCUUUCUCUGGCCUCAUGUAAACCUCGACACCCUGCAUCGGGAACACUUAGGACCCAUCUCUGCCUCUUGUCAGAGUGUAAGCUUCCUGUCGUACUCCCUGUUACAGGCUGAAUAUCUUGCAUGGGGCCUGGCAAAGAGUCAGUUAGGAACAACUUAAUCGCUGUUUGCUGUUUGAGUGACUUUGCAAGAGCUUCUUCCUAGUGAAAAACCUAGUAUCAUCUGGAUAUGAGAAAAUCCUUUUUGUCUGUGUUUUUGACGGGUGAUUUAGUUUAAAAAAUCAGGUGACUAUAGGUCCGGUGAUUCUAUUUAAUGAGAACAUUUCAGAGAAUGAGUUUUAGAUUUCUAAGUGGCUAAGAACACUUUACUCUUAAAGUAAAGCAUUAGGGAUUAGCUCUGAGCCUUAUGUAGAAAAUUUGCCAGAAAAGUAAAGGGAUAACAGUAUGUAAGCAGAAAGUUUUCUUACUGCACACAUACCUGUACAUAACUAGCCACCGAGUCUGGUGGUAUAGGAAAUAAGGUUGAACAGCAACGCAUAAGAUAGAGUUUAAAUUCAAAGGAAAUGUUCUAACUUAAUGGCCCAUAUGAGCAUAAGGUAGAAGGCCACCAAACAAUUCUGCUUGCUCUUUUUUUUUUAAACAUGUUUUUAUUGAUUUGGAGACAGAGAAAGGGAGAGGGAUAGAGGGACAGAAACAUCAAUGAGAGAGGCACAACGAUUCCCUGCCUCCUGCAGGCCCCCCACCAGGGAUCCAGUCUGCAACCCAGGCAUGUACCCCAACCAGGAAUUGAACUGGGGACUUCAUGGUUCAUGGGUGGACGUGCAGCCACUGAGCCACAACAACUGGGCUCUGCUUGUUCUUAAAACCCAGCCUGGCAAAUACAGGUAUUCAACACAAGCAUUGCCAAUUUUCUUUAAAUACAUCAUUCUCUUUCUCCGAACAUGUAGAAAAUAAAAGAGAUAAUAUAAACAUCUCUCGCUCUGAACUCCACAUUCUUCAGGAGAAACUUUCGACCUGUGCAUCAAUUAUAUGGGAAAUUUAAACUCAAAUUAAGUAUAAUCCUCUCAUUCCACGAUGGAUACUGUGUGUAGUUAAACUACCCGAGGGGGCAGUUCAGAACACCGGUCACUGUCCACUGGCCUGUUUUUUUUUAAAUUCUGUCCCACAAUUUGCCAGGUUUCUCAGAGGAAGCUCAAGCAGCUCUGAGAUUUAACACGAUUGUUAAGGCAGACUCUUAAAGUAAAGCAUUAGGGAUUAGCUCUGAGCCUUAUGUAGAAAAUUUGCCAGAAAAGUAAAGGGAUAACAGCAUGUAAGCAGAAAGUUUUCUUACUGCACACAUACCCGUACAUAAUCAUUUGCAUAUAAUAUUAUAUGCCUUAACGUCUAGAGAGAUUUUUACUAAAGCAUUAGUAAACCCUUGGGGGAUUAAUUUUAUGGAAAAGGAUCACAUCCAAAUAAAGGCUUAAGCAACAAAUAGUCUAAUUCUGUUAAGUAUUUUAGUCAGACUGUGAGGACCUACACGGGUUUCCCUCAGAACUAGAACUGAGAGUAAUUAAUGGUAAACUACAGUGAGUAAGCUCGGUGGCCAAAAUUUAACAUCUGCUAAGGAGAGGUGUCCGUUCCAUGAGAUACGGUGGAAGAGGAAACCCCUGGAUAUCUCCAGUCUGCUUCUCUGCUUCCUUAACCCAGGAAAUGCACACAACCGCAACAGCGUGGGUGGAGAGCAAGCUUCGCCAAAUAGGACUCCCAGGUCUAGAUUUGUUGCAUUCGGUCAGCGUAAUCCUAGACCUGAGGGUAUUCUCUGUAUAAUUACCAAAUCCAAACACCACUUUGCAAUGUACCCAGAUUCCUUCAACUUUACAUGUCAUAUGUAAUAACGCACAGUUAACUUUGCUCAAGAAUUUUAUGCGAUCAUUGUGUCUUGAUAGGUAGUUAUGUUUGUGUCUCACAUUUGUUUAGAUUAUUUUAUGAUUUCUUUAGUAGGUUCUUGAAGACAUGGAACAUGUACAAAAUGAAAACCGUAACAUUUUUUUAUGACAUAGUGUCAGCUAUCUUAUGAAUGGUAAAAGCAUGCCUAAACAUAAUAGAGAAAAACUGCUGAAAAAAUGACAUGAAAUUGCUGGAAAGUUCUCAAGAGUUUAUAGAUAGCCUAGAGUUAAUGUUUGAUUUGGGGACAAAAAAGAAACAAGUCAGAAAAGAUCUUUUCUAACUAUGAGCUUAAAUGGAAGGUAUUAUUUGGGAGCUCAUAUUUAUGAAAACUAAUACCUAAACUUUUGUCUAAAUUAUUGUUCUAAUGCAAUCCUCAUCUCAGUCAAGCAUUAUGUAAGGAUUUCAACAGAAAAGUGUUCAACAAUUUAAAUAAACUGUUAUUGAGUCAGUGAGUGGGACAGACAAAUAACGUUGACACCCAGUGCUGAGAAAAGGGUACAGUUACCCCCUGAAGGGGGUGAAGGAGAUCACUUUCAUGCCCCUGGGAGAAGGAUGGAAGAUGGCAGGCAGCUGCCCCUAAUGCUGGAACUCAGAUUCUCCCGAUUUCCAACAGGCAGGUCUAGAUGAAGUCACUGGCUCUGGAAAUCAGCCUUCUCCCUCUCCUGACUGUUUUGCUAGAGAGGUCCUGAGCCUGCCAGAGUCCAGGAUCUCGCUGACACUGUCAAAAAGGGAACGUACUUCCCAAGGCCUCUAACAUUCAGUGUCUCAUACCUCCAGGGAGUAGUAAAGUUCACUGAGCCUGACUCUUUCAUUUUACGGAUGGGAAACCCGAGGCCAGUAGGGAUUCUGUGACUUGCCCAAGCUCAUACAAGUAACACAAAAGCCAGACUCUUGACUUCCAGCCCAGUGUAUUUUCCGUGACACAACACAACACAUGAGUCAUCUGGAGAAAGGAGCCUAGAAUUAGGAGGGUGGGGCAGCAAUUGAAGAGAGAUUUAGGUAUGUAGCUUUGGCAGAGGUCUCCCGCUUAGACAAAAAGGCCAUUCUUGAAAAAAUGUCCCCAGUGUUAGCACUCAGCAAUCUGAAAUACCCAUUGGGAUCUUUAAGCCAUCAGGGUAAGAAGGCUCCCUUCUUGAGAAAGAAACAAGUUUGCCCUGGCAAGCAUCCCAGCAUCGCAGGUGCUCUCCGUGGGACCGCAUUCCCGGAAGCUUGCCUUGGCUUGUCAAAGAGAACCCCGCCGUUCAAGGGUCUCCCCAAGAUCUCUGACCUGCAGGCCCUUGUGGCAAGUCAGAAGGGUAGCUUUGGGAAGGGUGGUGCCUUCUAACAGAUGGCUCCCAUCUGACCACCAAGUCAGAGCUGCUUUUAUGAAAAGGCUGCUGCUUUCCAGGGUUUCUAGCAUGUGCAUUCCAAACAGGAUCAAGAACAUCUGCAGAACUUGGAACCAGAAACACACUGAGGUCAUGGCCUCUAGGCGAGCGAUCAGCAAAUUGAGUCACUGAAAUCUCUCUUUUAUGAAGCAUUAGCUGUAGGUCUGGAAACAGCACUUAGGCGAGCCCAUGAAUUUAAAAGCAUGAGGAAGGAGAAUAGUCAUGGAUUCACGGGGGAUGCUGAGACAGGUGGCAGAAGACCGGACCCAAGAGCCCUUACAAAUGCCUGCGAGGCUGUGAAGUCCAGGAUCAAGACACAGCAGAUUUGGUAUCUGGUGAGGGACCUGGUUUGCAGACAGCCAUCUUCUCAUUGUGUCAUCACACAUUAGAAGGCAGGUGAGAGCUCUCUGGACAUUUUUUAUAAGGGCUCUGAUUUCAUUCAUUGGGCUUUGCCCUCAUGACCUGAUCACCUUCCAAAGUCUAAAGAAGUGGUUCUCAACCUUCCUAAUGCUGUGACCCUGUAAUACAGUUCCUCAUGUUGUGGUGACCCCCAAUUUCAUUGUUACAAAUUGAACAUAAUU